UGUGAACUAAAGGGCUGGUCCAUGGCA
rnacentral:piRNA from 1 species